GUCUGUCGUGCUGAUCAUCCAUUCCCCCAAGUCCGAGAGCGUGACCAGUCAGGCUGAGCUGGAGGAGAAGCUGACCAAUCCAGGUAAGUCCUUUUUAGCAGGGUGGCCAAGUGCGUUUCCCGAGGAAGCCAGACAUCUGGUACUACCACUCUGUCCUGACGCUUUACGACAGGGCAGGCAUACAAUGUCUGCUCUGAUUUUUCACCACAGACCUUGAUUGGCUGUCCAUUUUCUGUGUGUACAUCAGAUUGGCUGUGAGUACAAGCCUAACCCAGUUUUCAGAGGUCCUCUAAGUUUGGUUUGAUUGCCUGGAGAACUCCUUGACGUUAGCUAAGACUUUAUUUCCCUUUGGUAUUUUAGGCCUGUUGCUUUUCUGUUGCUGCAGCAAAACACCAUGGACA
rnacentral:lncRNA from 1 species